rnacentral:rRNA from 1 species
UACGUAGGGUGCGAGCGUUAAUCGGAAUUACUGGGCGUAAAGCGUGCGCAGGCGGUCUGUUAAGACCGAUGUGAAAUCCCCGGGCUUAACCUGGGAACUGCAUUGGUGACUGGCAGGCUUUGAGUGUGGCAGAGGGAGGUAGAAUUCCACGUGUAGCAGUGAAAUGCGUAGAUAUGUGGAGGAACACCGAUGGCGAAGGCAGCCCCCUGGGUCAAGAUUGACGCUCAUGCACGAAAGCGUGGGGAGCAAACAGG